rnacentral:lncRNA from 1 species
CACUCCACCUGUACAGAAUAUCAGGUCUACUGCGUUAGAUAAAGCAAACUGCAAUCAUUCCUCGUAUAAUGUUGGAUCAACAUCACGUCCAACAUCGUCCUGCAUAAUCUGUCAGUGGAACCCAUGGGAGUUCUCAUGUGUUUAGCAGAUCAGGCCAAAUCUGACAAGACUUUUGAGUACUUGCUUUGGAGAAGAAAAUGCCUUCAGGGUUUGUGUACUGAACCUAGAAAAAAUUCAAUUGCCCACCAUACUCAUUCAAUGUGGUAGACAUGGCCUAACAAAUCCUUACAACUUAUCAUUAGUUGCACCAAACACAAUGUCAUCAACUAAUUGUGCAAUGAUAGUGUUACCAGCAUGCCUUUUGAUGAACAAGUUUUAUCAACUUGACCAUGAGAAAACCAUAAUCAAGGAGAAACACAGUAACCUUUCAUACCAGCACGUGGUGCUUGUUUUAAGCCAUAAAAGCCUUUUUAGUUUAACACAUGACAGGCUUCUAUUUUCAAACCUUUAGGCUGUUCAACAUAGGCUUCCUCAGAUAAGACACCAUUUAAAAGCACUCUUAACAUCCAUUGUAACAAGAGAUCCAACUGACAGCAAUGGCAAACAACAGCCUAAUUGACUCAAUUCUAGCAACAGAGCAAAAGUUUCAUCAAAAUCAAUCCUUCCACUUGAGUGUACCCUUGAUUUCAUGCUUUUUCUCACAGUUACCUGCUUCAUCAGUUGUAUUUUAAGAUAAUCCAUUGACCAAUAGUCUUGUUUUGGUUAAAAGUUUGCAGGAGAUUUAGGUUUUCGAGAUGAAGAGAGCAAAUUUUGGAGAGUUCGGGCUAAGAAUCUCGUUUUUAUGCAUACUCUGGCGCGUCAGAGUAGUGAAUCCCCGCGUCAGAAAAGCGAAGCUCCAGUGCAGCGAAAUCAAGAAGCCAGAGCAGAGGAACCGACAUCUCUAGAGCAGAGAAGCGCCAGCAUCAGAGAAGUAAAGCCCAACGCUCAAUAGUCAGAGCAGAGGAGAAGGAUGCAAAGCAGAGAAAUAAGACAGAGCAGAGAAAUCAGUCAUUCCUCUGGCGAUAGCCGUUUCUCUGACGACAGCCGUUCCUCUGGCGAGAUCUGCGAAUUCGGCAAUAGUAGGAGUGUUUUCCAGAGCGUGCAUCCAGCUGGAGAGUUGCCUUAUUUUACACGAUUCUAUUUCCUUUAGAGUUCUACUUUGCAUGGCAACUUCCAUGGUGAUCGAAGGAAAUCUGAAAACUAUAAAUAUGUCCUCUUUUGACCUAUCUAGAUAUACCGGAGAUACUUUAUUUUUCAGUUUUCUAGCUUUCAGAAUUUCAUUGCUUUCUAGUUUUCAAGGCUUGGAUCAAGACUGAAGAUUCAAGCCGCUACAAUCAUUCUUAUUCGAUUUUUAUACAAUUUAGUUUUUAUAAUUGCUUUUUUCUUAAUCAUGUUUAUGUUUUAUUUCAGUAUGUGGCUAGUUUCGCUUAGCUGAUUCUAGUUGAUUGAAUUUAUGUGAUUUAUUUGUUAAUACCUUUGUGCCUUCCAGUUUAUGAUUCAUAAUUCCUGGUGCUUGAAUUCUUGUGAAUUAUCUGAUCAAUAGUUUUCAUGUUUAGCUUUUCGGUUUGAGACCUAGCGGAGAUAACUGUUUAGCGGAUUCAGGGAUGUAUGAUAUGAUUUUAACCUUGAGACCUAGCGGAGAUAGGUGAAUCAUAGGGAGCUAUUCUUAGGAGCUAUUGGGAGUUAGUAGAUUUUCUUGAGACCUAACGGAGAUAGAUAAUUUACUAAUCUACGAUCGUUGCUGCUCUAGCGAGAGUAAUUGAUUAAUUAAGUGAUCUCUCAUCAUAACUGGAUUAAACUGGUACAUAGGAUUAAUAGAUUUAUUUCGUAGAUUUAAUUAAUGAAUUUACUACCCUAGGAUCAGUUGUCUUUUAUAUUUGAUUCUUCUACGUGCUUUUAUUUACUACUAUUUGAGUUUAGUGUUAAUCAAACCUUCCUACUUUCGUUUGCCUGAAUAUUACUAGAGUUUAGUUAGGAUUACUUAGAGUGAUUCGUUAUAAUAGUCCCUGUGGAUACGAUACUCGGUUACUUAUUAUUUGCUACAAUUGCCUGUGUUAGUUGUAGUUUUUGUUGCUAAGAAAUUAGUGAUCACCCCUGUGCUACCAAUCUAGCUUUGUUUCUCACAAUGUUACCAGAUUCAUCAGUUUUAUUUUUAAAAAUCCACUUAGUACCAAUAACGUUCUUGUUAUGUGGUCUAGGGACAAGAUCCCACACAUCAUUUCUAAUAAACUGAUUAAGUUCUUCAUGCAUAGCAUUGACCCACAUAACAUCUUUAAGAGCAUCAGCAACAUUCUUAGGUUCAACAAGAGACAGAUAACAUUCAACCUCAGCAAGCUCACACACAGAAGUCAUACAUGCAAUUCUUACCAACUCUUUGUAAUUGACUCCCUUCUUCUGUCGAGUGACAACUUUUUCACCAACGUCUCCGAUGAUUUGAGAACUUGGAUGAUCUCUUCUCACAUGACUUGGGGGAUCUCGUCUAAUGGAAUCAUGAAGAAAUUGAGCUUCCAACUCUUCUUCAGAGUCCGACACGUAGUUGCCAGCUUCUCCUUCUGAUGUUGACCCGGACGAAGUAACAUCAGAUGUUGGUACAGAUGUUGUACCAUCAUUGCCACUUCUGUGGUGAUCAGAAGCAUGACUUAUGUUGUUGGGCUCCUCAAGUAGCUCAGUAACAUCUUCAUCCUCUGUUCUAUCAAUGAGACUAAGAGAAUCAUCAAACACAACAUUAACAGUCUCUUGAAUAGUCUUAGUUCUGAGGUUAUAUACACGAAAAGCAUGACUAUUCACAGAAUAUCCAAGAAAGAGACCUUUGUCACUUUUGGAAUCAAACUUGUUAAGAUGAUCACGGUCAUUCAAGAUGUAGCAGACACAUCCAAAAAUAUGAAAGUACUUGAGAUUGGGCUUCUUACCUUUAAGGAUCUCGUAAGGUGUUAACAUAGUACCUGGUCUCAUGUACACCCUAUUGAUGAUGUGACAUGCUGUACUCACAGCCUCAGCCCAUAGUCGUUUGGAGAGGCCUUUUGCUUGCAACAUAGCUCUCACCAUUUCCUGAAUGGUUCUAUUCUUUCUUUCGGCAACACCAUUUUGCUGAGGAGUUUUGGGUGCAGAGAACUCAUGGAAAAUUCCAUUGUUAGUACAGAAAACAUCAAAAAGAGAGUUCUCAAAUUCUUUGCCAUGGUCAGUCCUAAUUCUCCCAACAUACUGGCCAUAUUGAACUCUAAACCUUUUAUACAGUUUCUUGAAAUGAGCAAAGGUUUCAGAUUUUGUUUUCAAGAAUUCAACCCAAGUGUAUCUUGAAAAAUCAUCAGCACACACAAGUACAUACCAUUUACCUCCUAAGCUUUCGACUUCAAUGGGUCCCAUUAGGUCCAUAUGCAGGAGUUCGAAACAUUUUGAGGUACAGCAUGUUGACAACAUUGGAUGAGCUGUCUUGUGUUGCUUCCCCUUCUGGCAAGGUUGACACACAACAUCUUUCUUGAAAUUCAGAUUAGGAAGGCCUCGAACUGCAUCAUGUGUGAUCAACUUUUGAAGAUUCUUGAAGUUGACAUGUCCCAGUCGUUGAUGCCAAAGCUCAACAUCAUCAAGUUUGACUGCAUUGCAGAACGUUUCUUCUUGGGACUUGUAGCAAUUGUCAGACGACCUUUUUCCCAUCAUCACACACUGAUUUGUGUCAUCAAAGACUUCACAAAGAUGUUUGUCGAACUUUACAGUCAUACCUGCAUCACACAACUGACUGAUGCUAAACAGGUUAGCCUUAAGCCCUUCAACAAGAUACACAUCUUUUAAUUUAGGAAAAUCAGUAACAUUGAGAACUCCUUUCCCCAAAAUUGUUCCUUUCGCACCUCCUCCAAAAGUAACUUUUCCUCCUGAUGUUGGAACAAAAUCAGAGAGUAAAGCCUUUGUUCCUGUCAUAUGUCUAGAACACCCACUGUCAAAGUACCAAUUCUCAGAAAUAUUAGCAUUCAAGGAGGUGUAGACAACAGUAUUACAGGUUUCAUUUUGUUCUCUCUUAUCCAACAAUCUGCUAAAGUCAAAUCUGCCAAUGUUACUAACAUUCUUCUGAUAACAAUCAAACAUCUGUGUCGCAGAUUUUACAGCACAAUCACUUAUGUAUUUGACACAAUGAGGUUUGAUAUGACCAGGAGCAGAACAAUAAUGACAAACAUAGGAUUUUUUCUUUUUGCUUUUCUUAUGAGAAUCCUUUAUGUUGUCAACAUUCACACUGACAUUUCUUUCUUUGACAAAAACAGUAGUAUUACGAUGUUCCUUUCUUUGCUCCUCAGCACAGAAACCAAUACCAAAAUUACUAUGCUGACCUUGAGACAGAACUUCAUUUAAACAUGAGGUGCCUUUGUUAAACCGUUUAAACACCCUUUCAGAAUCACAAACUUUACCUCUGAGUAUAUCAAGUUCAACAUCACGUUGAGAGAGCAGCCUUUCAAGCCUUGUAAUUUGCCCUUUGAGAUUUUGAUUUUCAUCAACCAACAUACAGAUGUCAUUUCUCAUCUCCCGACAUUGAGAAUCAACAAUCUCAUAGAGAUCUUUAAAAUUCUCCAUCUCUUUCAGUGGAUCACUCUCCUGUUCUUCCAAAGCUGCAACACAACAAAAAUCCGGUACACUAGAAUUGAAAUCAUCAAGCAUAGUCAUUUCAUACCAGUUAGUUGUGUUAGUGGGAAUCUUCAUCCCAUCAAUCUCCUGAACAUCAGUAUCCAUGUCAAAAACAUCAUUAUCAAUAAUCACAUCAAACUGAUCAUUUUCAGAGGAGAUGUUCACAUCAGUGUUAGCAACAUCAACAUCAACAUUCAUGUUGUCAGACUCAUCAAUCAGAUCAACAUCACAGUCAGACCUGGAAAUAUUGUCAUCAACACUCAGAGUUUCAGAUUCAGACAAACUAUCUGAAAAAAUUAUUUCAUCAUCAAGAUCUUCAAGGGCUCCAAUCAUGUCUUCUUCCUGCAAAAGCUACUUCAUCAACUGUAGCAACAAGCAGAACCUUUUCUUCCUCAGAAUCUGAGUCAUCACUUAGGGUUGCAGUAAGACUAGAAUGCCUUUUUCUUGCAACUGUGGGACACUCAUUUGCAUAGUGACCCAUCCCUUGACAGCCCCUGCAUUGAAUGUGAUCAAAACUUCUUACCUCAGAUGUUGUUCCAACAUUCUUCUUAACAUUGGUGAUGUUGGAUGAAGAUCCAACAGACAUCCCAGAAGGUUUCCUGUAACCACUUUUGGAUUUUCCUUUCUUAAAAGAUUUCAGCAUGUUGUUAAAAUUUUUAACCAACAUGGCAAGGUUAACAUCAUCUUCCUCCUCGGGAUCAACAUCUGUACACUCAGACAUGUUAGUAAUAUCAGAAUUUUCAGAGAUCUUUUCAACACGAAAAGCCACACUUUUGGACACAUGAUCAGCUUUUUGUUGUUCAAGAUUCAUCUCAAAAGUUACCAACUUGCUGACCAGAUCACCAACACGCAUAGUAGCAACAUCAGCAGUUUCUUCAAUUGAAGAAAUCUUCAUGUUAUACCUUUCAGGAAGAGAUCUCAGCAUCUUACUGACCAGUCUUUCAUUGCUAAUAGGUUCCCCAAGUCCAACAGCUUCAUUUGAGAUUUCGCAUAGCUUUUCAUAGUAUGCAGAAAUAGUCUCAUCGUCGCGCAUUCUCAAAAUCUCAAAUUUGGUGGUCAACAUUCGCAUUUUUGUUGCUCUAACACUGGCUGAACCUUCACAUUGUUCCUGCAAAAUGAGCCAAGCAUCUCGAGCUUCUGUGCAAUUAGAAAUCAUACGAAAAGCAGGAACAUCAACAGAGAUAAAAAUAGCAUUCAAGGCUCUGGAGUUAUGGUUAGAAAUGAGUCUUUCAUCAGCAGACCAUCUACUCUCGGGUGUGAGAGAUGUAACUCCAUUAUCAUCAGUGGUACGCGGUGGAGUCCACCCAUCCAACACAGCAACCCAGGCACGUUCAUCAAUAGAUUUGAUAUAGAUUUUCAUCCUAGUUUUCCACAAGUUGUAGUUCUUGCCACUACUAUCAAGAGUAGGAGGCCGAGCCGACACACUUGACAAAUCCAUUGGUGGUAAUUUUGCACACAGGAAUCGAUUCUUAGUACGUCAAGAACCUGCUCUUGAUGCCAAUUGAAAGAGUUUAGUGCCCCAAAUUACCAACAAAGUAAAACUGUGUAAAGAAAAGAGUAAUGUUAGAUGCAAUGUUAUCAACAGAAUGUUAAUAACAUUAUAACCAACAUGCAGCGGAAAGUAAUAACACACAGGAAUACUUUUUUCACGGAUUAUAAAUAACCCGUGAGUGCCUCAAGGCUAAAUUCACUAUGUUGAAUCAACAAUACAAAGUACAGAUUUGGAUCUUCUUGGAGAUCUAUCUUUACAGAAUAUCUGCCUAAGAUAAACCAACCUAUCUACUUUCAGUACUACAAUGUUGAUACAACACAGAACCCAAAACAGCCGAAUAACAAAAGUUAAUCGGACAAAGCAAACAACCUGCUACGCUCCAAUGGCCUUGCACUUCAAAUCUUGCUCUCGACGUCCCGUCGAUACAAAGAUAGACUUUACAGAUUGGCUGCCUAAGUCUACUUCGUCAAAGCAAUCCUUGAAGAACCGGUGACACGUUUGCAGCAGGAAAAUGACGAGUUGGCUGUGAGUGAAUGUUAAGUCGAUGAUUUUGCACUUCCAAAACGUAAGAAUGAUUGAAGCUUCUUGUUGCAUUUAUAGGCCUUCAUGUCGUGGUUGGUUUCAUCCACUUCCCACUUCCAGAACCUUCCUAUAACUGCUGCAAUCCGUCUUCAAAAACUGCUAGUCGACCAGCCUUGGAAUGUUGGUUACGAGAUCAUGGUUCCUGAAAAAUAGCAACAACCUGCCCACUACUUUGAACCAUGCAUAACCGCCAAUCCACUUAUUAAAAACGUGGUCAACAAACAUAGAACAGUUAUUUCACAACCAAAGAAUAAGAAAACGUGAAAGGAAGGUAAAGAUUAAAUAUAUACAAUUACCAAUGGAGAGUCAAAGUAUGGAGUCAAGGCAGACUCCGGAAUGUUGGUUGAAACCCAGAAAUGUUGACACCAUGAAUGUUAUCAACAUUCCACCCAACAUUGAAAACACGAAUGUUAUCAAAAUUGGUCCCAACAUUGUCGGAGUCAACAUUGACUCUAACAUAAUUCACUUUUAAUUAGCAGAAAAUGUUUACUCAUGGUAAAUUAGUUUUGUGUUGCUAAUGGUGUAGAGUUGACCAAACCGGUAGAAUUCCCAACUCCAUUCAAUUUAAGUCUGCUUGUGUCGACUUGGCUCAAAUUUAUUGACCCCCGAAUUAACGAUUAUUUCAUGAAUUUGUAUCUUCCAUCUUUAAUUUUUUCGUUGCAAGGUUUGUUUGUAAUUGUCGGGUUGUAUUGGCAAGAUCUUUCUUGUGUCGUGAUGCUUUAUUUUUUAUCCUUUCUCCUUCGCAUUUAUUUAGUUAUUACUUCGCAAUUUAUUUGUUUAGGUGUUUCUGCACAUGUCUGCAUCUUUUGUGUCGAGUGGGUCGAGUAGUGAGAAUUUUAGAUCGUCGGAUGAUGACGCAAGCUGUGUAGAUACUGUGAAUGGCGUGACAAGAAAUAGGUCCUGGGCCAGGCGUGGUAUGGUUGUGUUUGAUUCUGGGAUUGGUGAAAAUCAUUCUGGACCACUUGAAAGGAGUAUUCCCGCAUACAAGUUGGGAGAUAGGAGCCUGAAAUCUGUUAUCACAUUUGACAAGUUGGAUGAACUCUGUACUGCUUAUGCUAUUUCUCCUUGUGCCAAUCUGACUGCUCUAUCCGAUUUGAAAAGGCCCGAUUGGUUUUAUCCAGGAUGGACGGUCAUGUAUGAGUGUUUUCUCCAGAUGGGUGCCCAUUUUCCCCUUCCUCAACUAGUGUUUGAGGCUUGCACUUACUAUCGCAUUGCUCCGGGUCAAUUAGUUUCGAACGUGUGGCUCAUUUUCAUGGCCAUUCAGGUUUUUAGCGAGCUAGGGGGAGGGGUGUUCACUUCAGUUUUUUUGAAGUUUUGCAGGCUUACAGUUUGGAGAUGCAUAGAACUGAUAAGGUUCGAUAUCAGUUUAAGGCAAAUCGUCCGCUUGUGCUAUCUCUUCCGGAUAGCGCCAAGGGUUGGCGUUCUAAAUAUUUUUUCAUAUCUAAUAAUGCACUAAAGGAACCGCGUGAUUCGAUUGUUCCACAGGCGUGGGAAGCUUAUAGUGAGUGUUACAUGUUGGUUGACUUGAAAUUUGAGUCUUUCUUCUUGUUUGAAACAUGUUUUCAUUUCUUUAUGUAUUUAUAACUUAUACUUGACAUGUUUCUUUGUUAUGCAGUUUGUCUAAGGAGGGGGCCUACUGGCUUAUCUUUUGAUAGUGCUGGGAAGAUCGACUGGCUUCUAAGUUUUAGCAAAGAGGAGCGCUAUUUCUGUAAUAUUUUGACUGAGGCGAACUUACGAGCUAACUCUUUGUGGAGUCACAUUUUCGCAGGUAUUGCUUAUUCAAUAAUUCUACCUUAUUCCAACUUGUCGUUAAUAUAACUAAGUAUUUUUAUUUUGAUAUAGAUCACAGGAUGUCAAAGUCGUAUGUUCCGCUACUUCUUGGAAAUGGCGCUGCCAUGGAGGUGAUCCGUAACCGUAGAAAGAAGGCUGCCAGCUCGGGUGGUGUGGUUACGGAUGAUGUUGCUACAACAUGUAUUCCGCACUCUUCUCGUGCUUCGGCUCAAAAAAAGAGGUAUCCUGAAGUCGACCUUACUUUAUCCGAUCAGGCGGACGAUUUCAUCAACUUGUCCUUUCCAAACGUGUCUGCACAUUUCCAGCCUGGAUCUGUCCGUGGGGUGGCCGAACAGUUAUUACUCCCAAGCGAUAGGGAUCACUUGAAAAAGAAGGGAGAUGGAGGCGUUGCUAGUGAACUCUUCGAUCAAACCUUUUUGGUAAGUAUUUUCAAGUGUAGACUAUUUUGUUGACAUGAAUUUUUGAAUUUUCAACUUAUUGCAUUUUUAUGUUUGUUGUAGAGUAUGCAGAAAGCUGCCUUCCUUAAGGAAAGAACUCUUGCGAUGGUGGCGGAGCUUAAUGAGUUGAGGGUUGAACGAGCAAGUUGGCAAGACAAGAUGGAAACCGUCAAGAAGGCGCAUGAUGAGGCCAAUAAGAUUGUCAAGAAAUUGGAGUUUGCCAAGUUGGAAGACGCUCGUCGGCUGGAGCGAGCUGCAGCGGACUGCAAGGAUCUCGAAGAUAUGGUUGUUGCAUUGGAGCAACAAAUCCUUUAUGCAAGCUGUGAGACAGAGGUUCGAGUUCGGGGCGAGAUGACCUUGGCGUAUCUCGAGAAUUAGCCCCCCAAGACUUGGGAUGUCCAGCAAUAUAUAGAUGAAUUUAAUUAGUGAAAGGCUGACAAGGAGGAGCAGGAACAACUUACUAGCAACUUUGCCGGGAUGACCACCGGAGAUGACCAACCUCAGACGGGGGGAGUGACUCUCUGAGGCGGAAAAAAAAUACUUUGUUAUUAUUUGCUUGUCAUUUUUUCUUGCAUUGCAUCGUUUAAAACUUGAUUAUUUAACUAACUUUCCAGAUUGGCAUGUGUCUAUUUUAUCUCCAGCUUGAACUUUAGACCAUUGGGUCGGUUUGAGCUAUUUAUCUUAUUAGGAUGUUUUAUUUGUGAACUUUUGGAAAGCAGACAUUGCUAGAUAUCUGAAAGAUUUGCCUUAUUCUAUAGAUUGAUGUGGUUUGCUGAUAUCUUGUAUCACCAUUUUGCAUGUGAAUUUGUUUAGAGCAUAUACGUGAACAUGUUUGAAUAUCUCAUUUGAUGAAGUAAAUACCUUCAUUAUCAUGGUUUCGAUAUCGUAUGGAUUGGUGCAACAUAUUGCAGCUUGUAUAUCGAAAGAACAACAAUAUGUUAAAGAGAUGCAUAGACACAACUUGUCAUUUUAUUUUCAUUUCAAAUUUUCCAGCCAGGAAUUGAUGUUGGAGAAUUUUAUUGUAUCUAGACAGAACCAGGCUGGAUUCAUAUGUGUCGUCUUGUAUGUGAUUUUGAUACGUAUACUUGUAUUUAUUUUGCCAAGCCGGGACGAGUCGCUGCAGAGGCAACAAAAUGAUCGCUCAAGAAUUGGAAUAAGACUUUAAUUAUAUUAGGUAAUCUAAGUUGGAAUCUGCUAACACUAGCCAACUUGUGAUUGCGUUUGACUUAGGCGGGUUGUGCCCCACUUUGGCGUGUGAGCUAAACAAAUAAUUUCAUGCAACAUGCCGGCUUGGAACUAUUUUUCGAAUCAAAUUCUGAGAUUAUAGAGUUGUCAACUCCAAGUUGCCUAAGUCAAAUACUUGAAAUUGAAGCAAGCUGGUUUUCAUUAGAUGGGGUCGUACUUACUUCAACUAAUGGUGGCUAGUACAAUAUGAUGAAAACGUGGCACAUUCAAAUUUAUAAAAGAUAAAUGUGUACAAACUUCUUGACUAUAAUCGUCGAUUGCGAUGAUUUUAUUGACAUAGGUUGAUAUUGUUGUCGCAGACGGAUCAUCAUUGGCGACUUGUAUUUUGCAAGGUGUUAACAUCGUAGGGCAGGAUGAGACAUGUUGAUUUAAGGUUGGUGGCUGCACUCCGGAGAGUUUCCUACAUACAUCUUGCGAGGAUCAAGCCAAAUAUAGUUCUUGGGCCGGACUGUGCUCCGUAGGGCCAUGCUCCGUAGAGUUGCCUACGUACCAUUUGACGGGAUCAAGAGUGAUGUAUUUCCGUCUUGGUGGCGAUCUGGGCGGCUAGGUCCGCCUGAGCAGCCACGUGGGGUGCAUAAGGAGUUUCAGAUCCGUCACGACCGUCAGACAUGAUUGAUGCUCGUAGAGAUCUAAGGAAAGUGCGUUGAUUCGCUUGAUUGCUAGGGCCCACGGUGGGCGCUAAAUUGUAGAGGCUAAAAUCUACAAUUGAGGUUGACGUCUGCACGUCCGGAUAGAUUGAGCACUAGCAACCUGUCAACACAAGAACACGUAAGAGCCCUAGGUUGAGCAUCGGGAGGGGGUGUUGACCAUAGAGCCUCCGAUGCUCAAGUCAGUAACGGAAUAGCAAAAUAGAAUGACAAAUAGAUUGAAAUAAGAGAGAAAGACAGGUUGAAAUGAAUGGUUAUUCCAAGGUGUCGAUGGCAUUCGGAGGGUGAAAACGGUGACAGCGGGUUGUGAUAAUGAAAGGUGGAAGGCGGCCAAGUUGGCUGUAUCCGACUUGGAAGAGUAAUCAGCUUGGCGGCAGAGUAGAGAGAGUUCAAGAAGUCGAGAGCAAGUAGGAUAUCAUGUCCCUUUUUAUGAUCUAGUCGGGUGAUGAGGAGUACAAUAUGCAUCAGCGAUGUACAUAUUGGAAAUCCCAUCUUUGGCUGGAUCACCCGUGAAAACGCCAGCUUUGGGGUUUGUAUCCCGCUUUGCCGGAUUCCAGCACUUCCAGAGCCAACUUUGCCGAGAGCUAGCUUUGCUGAGAGCCAGCUUUGCCACCGACUUGGGCUUCAUUUCUCUGUUUUGUGGGCUUUGGGUUUAGGCCCAAUUAGUCAUCUAUAAAUAGGGCUCUUGUACAUGGAAAAAUGGGGAUUCAUUCAUUUUUUCUAGCACUUGACUUGUAAAUUGUAAACUUCUCACGAAACAUAGAGGAAAAACUGAGUAACGCCCGUGGAUGUAGAUCUUUAUGAUCGAACCACGUACAUCUUAAGUCGUUUAUCAUUUCUGCCUAUCUUUUAUUGUUGGGAUUAUUUUUGAACUCAUCAUCGGGCUAUUUAUAUAGGGGACAUCCAACCGCUAGGAUUUCUACAGUCUGACCCCAUCCAAACCCUUAUCUCCCAGGUAGUUGCGAUUUGAACGGGAUCGUAAAGAUUCAUCCUCUGAUCGUGUCAGCUUGGCGAGAGAUGUUUCUUAGGGUUGAUGGCUGGGUCAUGUGACUUCGUCGAUUAGGUGGCGGUAACCCUUGGGUCGGAUGUGAUACAUCCGGCCUGGUUAUCGAUUCAAGUUGAUCUAUAGCUUUUUGGGCUAGAUGGGCCAAUCUGUGUGAUUGACUGGGCCUUUAGGGUCUUGCCAGAUUGACGAGCUAGCUUGGCGGACUAGCUUGAUGGGCCAAGCUAGGUGCGAAUUAUUCAGUCUGACGGUUCUGAUAGGUUGGUCUUGAAUUGAGGUAUUCAACCUGGGUCAGUCCAGGUAGGUCUUAAAAUUUGACUUAUCGGGUUGGGAGAACAUGUUUUCUUAAGUAAUUGGUUUAUCAUCGUUGUCGAUCCAAGCUGGUCCGAAGCUUGUCAGACUGGAUGGACCGGGUUGCUUGACUCAUUCUGCCAGCUUGGAAUGUUAAUUGGGCUUGAGCCAAGUUGACGGAUUUUGCCCAUUAUACCUGCGCGCAAACUCGAAUUCGAUCCGCCCUAAUUAAGGGUAAAACAGUCUUAAAAUAUAAAAAAUGGCCAAAUAUUGUGUUUACUGUUCAAAAUGACUAUCUUAAAAUGAGACUCUUAAUUAUACAAAAUGAUUUUUUCCUAACUUUUUUACUUGCAAAGUCAUUUAAAAUAAUAUUUGUUUCAAAAUUUUCUAUAUCAUUUUCAACAAAUAAAAUUGUCAAACUAUUAGCAUUUGAAUUUUUUAUUUUUAAAAUAUUUGGCCAUCUAAAAAAAAUAUUUUAACUAAGUGGAUAUACCUUAAAAAAAAGCAAAUAUAAUUUCUUUUGACUUAAAUAAUACAUAUAUAAUUAAAAGAGUAUAAUAUUUUGGGCUCCCUUAGAAUAAUGGGCCUUGGGCGGUCGCUUAUGUUGGCCCAUGCCCAGGGCUAGGCCUGCAAAUUAGUUCGAGAACUUACUAGAAAACAUAAACAUGAAUAACAUAAAACAUAUAAUACAUGUUAUAAAAUAAUAAAUAGAUAUAAUUAUUUUUUCCGAGUUUGAGAUGAGUUUCGAUUGGGCCUGGGCUGUUAUAAUAAUAAAUAGAUAUAAUUAUUUUUCUGAGUUUAAGAUGAGUUUCGAUUGGGCCUGGGCUGCUCCAGUUGACAGCUUAAGAAUGAGAAAAAAUAGGGCUUAUUCUUAUAUUAGAAGUUAGAACCACCAAUGAUAAGAUUAGGUUCAUUUGAGUUGAGCUGCUCGCUUCUCCACCGGUAGAUUAAAUUGCCAGAUUCUUUUCAAAAUACACAAUUAUUUUAUCUUUUGAUCAAACUGUGUAAUAUACUAAUAAUUUUGUUGCUGUCCUUAGCCGACCAGAUGUGUCAUUUCAACCGAUUAAUGAAUGAAACCAAAAANGAGAGAAUAAAAUACACUAGAAUCAAAUUUCUAUAUAUCAUGUAUAGUGUUAGGUACUAAUUCUUUUAUUCAUUGCCACUAACUGAUCAUCUUCUUUGUCUUUCCAAAUUUCCCACGUAGAAAAUGUUUGUGUAUGAAAACUAAUUCUUUUUUCUUACAGUCAAAUUAUCCGUUCUUCAUUUUUUAUUUUGUUUUGUAUGGUGUUUGUGUGUUCUAACUUUUGAGUCAACCAUGGUGGGAGCAAAUUUUUUACUCCUGCUCCUCGUUCUAACUGCAUUUAAUUCAGCUGCUGUUUUGACCCUUCAACACGCCAUAGCUAUUUUCUUUGUUGAAAAAAAGUAACAAGAUACCACUUAUAAAUUUCCAAUCAUGUCAAGAAUAACCAGCAUUUCAUACAGAUCUUUUUUGUUGUGGUUGUGGUUGUGGUUUUGAUUUUGGAUAUUGCAGUAAAUAAAAGUAGAAGGAUCAAAGAAGGUACGAGGGAAAGAGGGUGGCUUGCCUUUCUUGAAUCUUGACCCCAUUGAACUUUCUCUUUUCUAAAUUAAAAGUGGAAUCUUUAUCUCUCUCUCUCUCUCUCUCUCUCUCUUCUUUAACUAACCAAUUGAUAAAAAAAUUGUACUAGUAUAUCCAUGUGAGGAUUGUUUUAGCGAUAAGUUUAUUCUUGGAAAUCUUUUCCUGUGUUUUCUUUGAGAAGAAGAAGAAGAAGAAAUGGCUCUGGUUACUCAAGAAGCCAUCAACCAAUUUGAAGCAUUAAUGGAGGAAGGUUGAUAUUUCUUUCGAGGCCCCAUUUAUUUAUUAAUUAAUUUUGGAUCUUCCCUGAUUUCUCAUUUUUUUUUUCUUUGUGGAAUUGUUUUCAGUGGACGAACCACUCAAAAAAACUUUCCAGGUUUGUUUCCCCUUUUCAUUCAUCAUUUGUAAAUUUUUCUUCCUGUUGUUGCAUAUCUACUGUUUGGUUUCAAAAAUCAUUUGUGUUUAAUCUUCUAGUGCUAUUCUGACAAUGUCUUUUGUCUUUUUUUAUUUACCUAGUGUGUAUUUGUUUUAAGUCAUGUUAUAGAAGUUAUUCUUACUGAUUAAGUUGGGAAAAUAGAAAUUCGAAAAAAAAAAAGGCUGACCUUGGUUGUUGUCUUGCACUUAUCAUUGAAAUUAUGUGAUAUGAACUUUGUUUUUCUUUUGAUGAAAAAGCACAAAGACAAAAUGGGGUUUUCUGCAAAAACAUAAGCUCAAAACAACUGCUGUCUAAUUCUGCUACAUUUUUUUGAAUUUGAAAUACUCUGAACCAUUUUCAAUUUGCAGAAUGUACAUCAAGGAUAUCCUCAUGAAACGUUUACUCGUUUUCUGAAGGCGCGAGAAGGGAAUGCUCAAAAGGCUCAUAAGAUGGUCUGACAAAAACCUUUUCUCUGAAAUAAGUUAUGAAAUGUAAAAUGAUAAGCAUUCCUGAUGAAUUGUAGACUAAUUGUUUGUUGAUGAUGCGAUAUAUCAGUUGGUUGACUGCUUGGAGUGGAGAGUUCAAAAUGACAUUGAUAAUAUGCUAGCGGUAUGUUUUCAACAUAUAUGUGUGUUGAACUGUUGACAGUAAAAUAGCUGAUUAAAUCUUAGUGCAUAUUGAACAAUGUUUUUGUAUUCAAGGUCAAAUUAGUCCCAUUUGGCAUAUGGUGAGGGCUGAUCAAACUAUGUUUGAACAUUCUUCUCAAAAAAAAAGAAGCUACAUUUGAUCAUUGCCUAUCAUGUCCUAAAACAUCUUUCUCCAAUUUAUAACAUAACUAGUUUGUUGAGGUUGCCUUCUCUUCGGAAAAUUUAAGCCCUUCUCUCUUCUCAUUUCUGAAGCAACCCAUGGUGGAGUUCCUCCACAAAUUGUGAACUAUCUCGAUAGCGAAACACUUACAGGGACUAUUGUUUCCCUUAAUAUUACUUCACAACUUAAUUGCUGCAUUUUACUGCAGAAACCAAUUGUUCCCGAGGAACUUUACAGAGGGAUACGUGAUUCUCAGCUUGUAGGAUUGUCGGGUUACUCAAAUGAGGUGAGCAUUUGAUCUAGCAGGAAUACAUGACUACACAUUAGGUGUCUGAUCAGUAUUAUCUUCGUAAUUCCAUACACUCACUAACGGGCAGCUAUUUCAUCAUUAGGGUCUCCCUGUAUUUGCUGUUGGAGUAGGCCUGAGCACAUUCGACAGAGCAUCCGUAAGUAUUGCUGCUAAUAGUUCUCUUCUGGUUUCCAGUGCUUUAUACGGCAUGGCAUGAAACCAAAUUUUCUGAAGUUUCUGUUCACCAAUAAUUCACAAUUUCUUCAUUACCUCUGACAACAUUUUUCUUCGUUUUAGGUUCAUUAUUAUGUGCAAUCCCACAUUCAGAUUAAUGAAUACAGGGAUCGUGUGAUUUUGGUAAGUGAUACUCGUGCUUCUACUCUAUGUUUUUCCAUUUGCUUACACUUCUGUAUGACUUACCAUUCUUAUUGCAGCCUGCUGCGACGAAAAAGUAUGGGAAGCAUAUCAGUAAAUGCGUAAAGAUCUUAGAUAUGACUGGCUUGAAACUCUCGGCACUAAACCAAAUAAAGGUAUAUUAAUAGCUAUAGUUUUUCAGUAUUAUUUCAUUCAAGAUACAGUUGUUCUUUUGUAUUUUAUCACUAAUGGUACUCGUAUUUGUUCUUUUGCAGCUCCUGACUAUAAUUUCUUCUAUUGACGAUCUAAACUACCCCGAAAAAACACAAACUUAUUACAUUGUGAAUGCGCCAUACGUCUUUUCGGCAUGUUGGAAGGUCCGUCUCACACUUUCUUCCUGUUAGGUGUUACUGGCUACUUUUUCUUAUGACGGAUACUGGAGUUUUCAGUGAUAGGACAUUUCAUUAGAAGACCAGUAAUAAACUUUCUUCUUCUUUUUUCAAAUAUUUUGUUCGAGAGCUUAACCUUUAAUCUGUUAACAGGUAGUAAAGCCACUUCUUCAGGAAAGAACAAGGAGUAAAAUAGAUGUACUCUCGAGCUGUGGACAGGAUGAUCUACUUAAGGUAAUUUCUAGGUCAUAUUAGUAAUUUUUGUUUACUGCUGCUAGUAUCGUAUAAUUGAAUUCGACAUCACAUGGAAUUGAUGCAUAAACCGUAUCGUUUUUGUGAUAUCUGGUUUUGGAAUUCUGGCUCCUAAAGCUUGUCCUCAUCUCCUUCAAAUAGUCUCUUCUCUUUUUUUCCUUUUUCUUUUUUUUCCCCUUUAAAUUUCUUGUGUUUUUAAAUAAUUUUAUUUUUCUUCUGUGAGUUUGAAGUUGGCAAGUUAGCUAAAAGACAAAUUUUUAUGUUUGGUGCAGAUAAUGGAUUAUUCUUCCCUUCCCCAUUUCUGCCGGAAGAGAUCUUCUGAUUCUUCGAAAUAUUCAGAGAGUAGCUCCGGAAAUUGCUUUUCCUUGGACCAUCCAUUUCACCGACAACUCUACAAUUACGUUAAGCAGCAGUUCUUGCUCUGUCAACCUGCCCCACCAGUAAAGCAAGGGUCCGUUCAUGUAACUUUGCCUGAAGACGCUGAUAAAGAAGUCAUUGCAGAGACUUUGGAAUCCGAGUUAAAGAAAUUCAAGGAUCUCAACAUUGCUCAAGGACCUAAAAAUGAGUAAUUACAAGCUUGCACAGAUAUCUUGGUUUAGAAUUCUACCUAGCCAUCCUAUAGCUAUAGAUUGUUAUGUAAUUUCAUGUAGCUCGCCAAACAUACCUAGUUGAAGCUGUGUGCACAAUGCCCAGCCACAGGCGAAGUCAUGUGCAGAUGCCGGCUUCUCUAUAUCAUCAAGUAUGUCCUAAUCUUGCAUCCGUUUAACAUGAGUUGUAAAGAAAAUAUACAAUAUUUCAUAUAUAUAUAUAUAUUCUGGUACUGUUUCCCUACAAGAGUGAAUCUUGAGAUCCAUAUCAUAUAUGUAUCUCUUAUUCUUUGGAUAUGAUUAUUUGGUCUCUUUGAGGUUAGUUCUGUGAUUCUUCUGUUUGGAUAAACAAUCUAAUGAUAACUCUAUUUGAAAUCAGAUAAUAGUUGAUUCAAGUGUACAAGGCUAGUUGAUAAAGACUACCUACACUUAAUCAAAACAGCUAUACUACCUUUACAAGAAGAUGGAUAUUCUUGUGUUUCUUGACAUGUUCUCCAGGAAUAUUUUUUUGUCAUUUACAAUAUUCCAGAUGGCUCUCCGACUACGAUACGACAUUUCUGGAGUUCGCCUUCGACUACCUUCCUCCCGGCCUCUGCCACCUCUGCCCUCUUCACCGCGUCCUCAAUCUCUAACUGUAAGUCCUCACUUUGUUUCAAGAUCACCUCUGCCUUCUGUGACGUCUCAUUCUGGCUCGCCUUUAUUUUUUGCAAAUCGGCCAUGAGAGCCUGCACUUUGGAAUCGGCAUUAGUUCUGCUUUCCUCAAUCUUGUGGUUCAUCGUCUUGAACUCGUCGACUGACAGCCUGAUCUUCCUUGUUGAUGCAGGUCCCGGUCCCUUCAAGUUGGCCGCACCAUCUGCUUUGGGAGAAUCUCGUAUCUGUUCGUCUGCGAGCUUUUGUGCAGCCUUAGCCUCCUCGGCCUCCUUCAACGCGAGCUGCAGCUUCUCGUCAGUUUCUUUGCUGCAAUGUUUGCUGCUUCAGCUUCUAGCCUUAGUAGUUCGACAUCCUUCUGGAUCUUCUCUGCUUCCACCCGAUCCGUUUCAGCUUCUGCUAGCACCUUGUCGAGAGCCGACUGCAUUUCCUCGCGGAUAUUCCUAGACUGGGCCGUCUCAAGCUCGAUCGUCCUCUCCGCUAGCUCGGCCCUCAUCUGCUCGAUCCUCGACUCUGCCUCCGACGCCUUCUUCUCACACUCAGUGCGGUCCCUCUUUACUUGGUCUACCUCAUGCUCGAGCGACUCCACUGAAGUGUGAAGUGAAACCUCCUCCGCAAGGAGCUGCUGUAGUUCCUUUCUGGCGCAGUCGAGCUCCGUGACCGCAGUCUGCAACGAGUUGAGAUCAGAAGCGCGCACAUCAUUGAGCUGCUCCUGCAGAACCUUGAUCGCCUCGGUGGCUUCCUCGAGCUUACGCGCCAGAUUCUCCUCAGGGCCGUACACUUCUCUGAGGGUCUUGAUUUCCAUCUCAGCCACCUCCUUAGCCGACUUAUGCACCAGCAAGUGAACCUCCUUCUCCGCGAUGAGCUUGAGGUGCUCCUCCUGCGCUUGGAGGGAGUCGAACUUGACCUGAUCGAGGGCACGACGGAGCAUAGAGACUUCCUUGGAGAGCAUGUUCUGCCUUUCCCCGCUGGCUUUGGUGGCUUGCCGCGCAUCCUCUAUCCUCUGAAACGCGGCCAGUUUGGCCUCGAGCGCUGCAUCGAAGUCUUGUCUUAAGUUGGCGAGCUCUUGCUUGGCAACGAUGAGCUCCCCCGACGAGGCCUUGUAGCGUUCCCUCUCAAGGUCGAGCUCGAGCUUCCACGCGUCGCUGCCCAUUUGAGCUUGGGUUUGCUGCACCUCCAGCUCCGCGGCUCUCCGUUUCGCGGCUUCCGUGGCUUUGAUCGCUGCUUGCUUCGAUUCGCUGAGAUUUUCGAGCUUCCCCGUUAGGUCCUGCAGAGCUCUGUUGGCCUUCUGCAGAUCUUGGUGAGCUUGUGCCUUGGCAUUUUCUGCACCCUUCAGCUGCUCUUUGUAGUAUUCCAGCUCCUUAAUCACCAUGUGAUGUUGGGUCUCUUUCUCCAGCAGUUUUUGCUGCGUAUAAUUAGUUAAGUAUAAAUCUUACCAAUUUUAUUCGACUUCGAUGGAACUAUGUUAGUUCCAUCGAAGUUUUCUGCAAAGGUCGAAUGAAGAAAAAAUGUUCUAAACUUCGGGCCAUAAACUAUUACCUCCUCGGCUUUAGUCUUCUUGGUGACGGGCCUUGCUCGGGGCGAGAUAACUUCGCCGAAUAAACUAACGGCAGCCUUGACGGAUUCGAAGGGUGCGCGAGUGUCGAUUUCUCCGACGUCGGUUUUCGGAGAAGACGACACCUUGGGAGAUUCCACUCGUGCAACUGCGCUCGGAGAUCUCGGUGAACCAAACCCAUUUUGCAAUGUUCUUACAGUGAAUCCGAACAUUAUUAUUCCUUGCCUUCUUCUACCAACUGCAUUCAAUCAACAACUAUAAACAAAUUCAUGCAAAUAACAAAUAUAUGCAUAUUCAUAACGACAAUGUUCAUUAGAGUAUUUUUUUAUUUUUUAUUUUGAUAAAAUGUACUACUUAAAUUAAAAUUAAUGUAUACGAAAGCUUCAAUUUUAUUAUUGUAAAUAUAAAAAAUAGUUACAGAGAUUAAAUAUAGUAGCCGUAUUUUAGCGUAAAUUUUUUGCCCUUAAUUAAUGUAAAUUAGCUUUAAUUAAGUACUUCCUCCGUCCCAUUACAAAUGUCUUUUGUAAAAGUAGAUAUAAAGAAAGAGUAAGUGAUGGGUCUAUUAGUUACCCCCUCCGUCCCGCGAGUCUUGACACGUUUGGGUUCGGCACGGGAAUUAAGGAGUUGUAGAUUAGUGUUUUAAGUGUGUAAUUAAUAAAGAAUAAAAUUGAUAAAGUAUGAGAGAGAAGGUAAUAAAAGUGAUAAAGUAGGAGAGAGAAUAUAAUAAAGGUGAUAAAGUAGGAGAAAAAAUGUAAAUUAUUGCCAAAAAAAGAAACGUGUCAAGAUUCGUGGGACGGCCCAAAAAGGAAAACAUGUCAAGACUCGCGGGACAGAGGGAGUAAUUAGUCUCUUAAUUAUUUGUCAAAAAAGAAAUGAGACAUUUAUUAUAUAAAACAUUCCAUUAUAGUAAUUGAGACAUUUGUAAUGGGAUAUAGAAAGUGUUAAACUUUUUUGGUUUGAAUUGUAUAAGGCUAAUUCACGACGAAGAAUCUUUGAAAUAUCUUUGAAGUUGUGAACUCUAGGCAAAAUUGGAUUAAUUCACAACUAACAAAUAUUUUAAUAGUGAAUUAUAAGUAAAAUAUAGUCAAUUCACGAUUAAGAAACUUUGCUAUUGUGAAUUUUAUGCAAAAUAAGGCUAAUUCAUAACUAAUGGGGCUUUGUGGUUGUGAAUUAAUAAAUGUAAAAUUGUAAGAGUAACUAUUUAAUCUUAUUUUCAUCUUACAUUAGUAAAAUUGAUAUCUUUUUAGAUCACUCGUUAAAUUAUGACAAGUAUUUAUCUUUCCAUCAACCGUUUUCAGGUUCAAGAAAUGGAUACCUCGAAAUACUUUUCAAAUAAAAGAGUGCAGUUUCACACAUUUCCCUUACAAAUCGACAGCAAUUCUCCCAAUUUCUGGAGAGAAUAAGAAAAAAAAAAANUCAUAGCAAAAAGAGAGAUUAAUUAAAGAAUCAAAUUACAUUGCAUGUAAUGUCAUCACAAAAUCAAAUAUUGCAUCAAAUCAAAAGCUAACUUACUGUAAUCGUUUAAAAGAAUGGGGAAAAGAAUUGAAAGCUCCAAACAGUUCCCCUCAGAUCAAUUAAUGAUGAUGAUGAUCGAUCUUGACACAAAUAACUACUCCUAUAUUUAUUUUUCAAAAAUAAAAAUAUAUAUUUACUCCUCUAUUUAGUAAUAAAAUAUAUAGGUGAGGGGGGAGUUUUCUUGAUUCAAAUGGAAAACUCAAAGUCUGUUUUUCUCCUCCUAAAAGAAAAACUAACAAGAAGGAAAAGAAAAUGGAAUUGAAAUGAUGAAUAAUAAUAAUAAGAUGUGUUGGGUGAUAAGAUGUAGUUUGUGGAAGAGCAACUUCUCCGGUCUCAUUUGAGUUGCCAUUCUCUCUCCGAAUUUUCGGCUGCUUCAUCAAAUUUAUUCCCUAAAUAACUGAUUCACCUCGCCCACUCUAUGUGCUUUUCUUUUAUUUUCUUUUCAAAUUGAUGCUGAUUAAUUAAAUUUACAGUUUACCUAAAUACCCUUUAGCGUCAUCUUAGAAAGAGUUCGAGGAUUUUUUAGGACAGUAACUCAGAUUAAUUUGGAAAUUAUGACAAUAACUUUCGAACUUGUAAAAAUAGGACACUAAUUUUUUUUAGAGUAAAAUAGGACACUAAUUAAUAAAUGUUACAUCCGCAUGACAUUUUUCGGUCAAUUAUCAGCCGAGAAAUAUCCUAUUUUUACGACGCUUAUUAAUUAGUGUCCUAUUUUGCUCUAAAAAAAAAUUAGUGUCCUAUUUUUACAAAUCCGAAAGUUUUUGUCAUAAUUUCCAAGUCAACAUAAGUUAUUGUCCUAAAAAAUCCAUUGAUUCUCUUAGAAACAAUUAAGGUUAAUCAAUUUCAAAUUUGAAAUUUAAGAUUUGAUCGGUUCACGUAAUUUUUAAAUUUAUUUGUUCAUUAAAAAAAAAUCAUAUUCGAAUUACAUAGCUAUCCGUGGUAAUUACAUAUUCUUAUUUCGACAAAUUACCUGGUCAUUUCUUUUUUCUUUUUUUGAUAAAACACUUUGUCAUUAUCACUUCAAAUUUUAUUCUAAUCUCAAAACCUAUUGGGAUCUCCAUUAUACUCCCCCCAUCCUUGAAGUAAGUUCCUCUUUUUUUUUUUUUCUUUUUGGGACGUCCCCAAAUAGGGAUGACAACGGGCCGGAUCUGGACCGGUCUGGACCAAUACGAUCCAGAUCCGUUUUCAUAUACUAGAUCCAGAUCCAGAUCCAGAUCCGUGGAUCUGAAAAUUUUGGAUCCAGAUCCAGAUCCGCGGGUCCACGGGUCCAGAUCCAUGGAUCUACUAUUUUUAAAUUAAAUUAAAAAAAUUUCACAAAAUCAACAACAUCUAAUUUCCAUCAUGAAAAAUAUAACACAAAAUACUUUUAUCUAAUUACUUUUAGUUUUUAUUCUUUUAAUAUAAUUUAUUUAUUAUUUUUAAUUUAGUUAAUAUUAUUAGUAAACUAAAUAUAAAAUAUAAAAAAUAUAUAUAAAAUAAAACGGAUCCACGGGUCGGAUCUGGGCCGGAUCCGGAUCUAAAAUUUCAAGAUCCAGAUCAGAUCCGUUUUCAAAAUGAGAUCCAGAUCCAGAUCCAGAUCCGUCGGGUCCGAAAAAUUGAGAUCCAGAUCCGUAAAAACGGAUCUGGAUCCACGGAUCUGGACCGGGUCCAAGAUCCACUGCCAUCCCCUAUCCCCCAAAUAAGUUCUUCUUUCUUUCUUUCUAUUUUUGGACAACUACCACACCACUAAUAAUACUUUAUUUAUUCUUACUUUUCACUUUUUCACCACUCUCAAUAUUAAUUAUAACACUUUUUCACCUUUUCAUCACUUUCAAUACUAAUUAUAACACAUUUUUCUCCACUAUCAAUACACUUACCAUUUUUUCUUAAAAUUUGUGUCGUCCCCAAAGAGAAACUUAUUUCAGGGACGGAGGGAGUAUUUAAGUUACUAGUACGUGCUCGCUCGUGCGAUACACGACCAUCAUCGAAAUUGAAUGAUAAUUUAAAUAAAUAAAUAAAUAAAUAAAUAAAUAUUAAAUAUAAUUUAUAUAUAAGUAAAAUACAAACAUGAAUCUCAAUAAAAAAAAAUUAAAUUAUCCACAACAUUAUCUCGAUAAAAAAUAUGAAUCUGAAAACAUUCGAAUUUUCAAAUUUUAAAAUAGCAAUUAAUUGAAUUAAUUGAUAAUGUGUAUAAAUAUAUGAAUCAUCAAAUAUCAAAAGCAAGUAUAAAUGAUAAUGAGUUUCAUUAUGGAUCAUAUAAUAUUCUAAGAUUUACAAAAUAUUUAUUUAUAUAUAAUUUAAUAUAUUUUUUGAAUACAUAUUUUGUAAGGAAUUGAUCACGCUGCAGUUGCAGCAAACCAACUCGAUCACAGCAACAAGAGUCGCAGCAAUAGACCUCUCAACUCACAAAGCUAAACACUCAAGUUCGUGAUGAAAAUUAAAGCAAUAAACAAAGAAAGGUGACACCAGAUUUUUACGUGGUUCAAUUGUUAAAACUACAUCCACGGAAGAUCACACAAGACCUUUCACUAUCACGAUCAAGAUGUUACAAAGAAUUACACAACAAAGAGCUAGAGAUGACAGCUCACAAGCCUAACUUAAGACUACUGUUUCUCAAUCUCUCUUUUCACUCUUUUUCUCAGAGAAUUCAUAAAACUUCUAACCUAAUCUAUGAGGAUUACAGAAUGUAUUUAAACUCAUAAAAUGAUCAAGUAAUGAGCUCACAAACUGAGCAGCAAGAUGCUAUGUGCGAAGUUGAAUUCUGUUAGUUUGUUUUCAACAAACUAAAUUCCUGCUUUGCACUUAAGCUCCUCAAUUGUUGAUAAUUUGCUUUUAACCCUUCACUUAAUAGCUGCAAUUAUGAAUUCACAUUCUACAUAUUUAAAUACUAUUUAUGCGGUCAUUUUGUUUAAAUAUAAAUUUUAAAAUAAAGUUCCUAUCAACGUCCAAAGAUUUGAUUUAUUCUAUCGGUGAGUCAUAAGUGUAUACAUGCAUGCAAUAACAGACCUACGAAUUUAAUUCUAGUCAGACAAGAUUUCAUUGAAAUUUUAUGAUCGGACGAAUUUAUAGAAUUUUUAAAAGAAUCACAUAAAAUAUAUAAGUAAUAAAAAUAAAUGACUUGGCGGCUGCCGAGGGUGCUUGGCCUUUAAAACCGCCCCUGAUGCCAUUUAAUUUGAAUAAAUAUGGUAAUAAUUAUUUUUAUAUCCAUUAAAAUUUUUAUUUAUAUUAAUUUAUCGAUAAAUAUUUUUUAUCAAUUGAUAAGUGAAAAAAUAAAGGGUUCAACGUGAGAUAUGUAUCUUUAUUAUUGUGCCCAAUAUCAGUUGCUAUAGGCGGUUUGUUAUUGUGGCAGCAAGUGGGAAAAUAUUUCUUAGUUUCAUUUGCAACUAGAAGUAUUCGUGUGGUUUCAAGUAUUGGUUAUUUCAGCUGUGUUUGUGUAUUUGUAGUAAUGGUGUUAUUAAUAAUUGUUAGUUCAACUAAUUUAAAGUACUGGUGUAAUGAUCGAAUCUUACAACAUUAGUACUGGUGUAAUGGAGUAUUUUUUUUAAAUAAAAAAUAUUUCUCUUAAAAAAUAAAAUAUUACCCCCUCUAUCUCACUUCAAAUGACCCAAAAAAAUUGGGCAUGAAAAUUAAGAAAUGUGUGAUAAAGGUGAAAAGUGGUGGUGGGACAACUCAAAAAAUAGUGUUAAAUACCUAAUGUUAUUUCUAAAUUUGGGUUGAGUCAUUUAAAGUGGAACAACUCAAAAUAGAAAUUGGAUCAUUUGAAGUGGGACGAAGGGAGUAUAAAUUUUAUAUAAGCAAUAGCCGAAUAUAUGGAUUGAAAUUGAUGCAACACAUUACAUAUAAUUUUCUUUUUUAAUUUGUUACACCAAAGAAAGGAAAAACGCACUCACACUCUAACCUUUUAGGUGACUGGAACCCAAUAAUAUAUAACAAAAUUUUACGUAUUUAUUUUAUAUAAUUUGUUCUCCUUCUUUCUUUCAUGUUUCUAUUUUAUAUAUUUUUUUUCUUAUUUAUUGUACAUUAACAAUUUCACUAACUAACAGAUUUUUUUUUCUAACUUAUAUAUAUACUAAAAACAAUGGGUCCAGAUUACUAAAAAAUUUGUUUAACUAAAGUAAUUAUUUACAGUAUAAUGAAUACAAUAAAAAAAUAUAAUUUGUGAGGGAUAUAUUUGUACUCUGAAAUGAUAAUAUUUUCAAAUGAGCAUUGAUAUGUUUACUGUUUAACUAUGUAUAUAAAAAUAAUACUACGUGAAAUUUUCUAAAUUUUAUGACUCCUUAAUAAUAUUUAGUCUUAACAUAAUUAGUACUCCCUCCGUCCCAUAAGUGCACACUUUCCUUUUUGGGUGUCCCAUAAAGCACAUUUCAAAAAAUGAAAUAUUUAUUGCAUAAGAUACACUAAUUAUUGCACUUAAUUAUGGUAUAAAUAAGAGACAAAAAAACCCUAAUCUUAUUUUUGCCAAAUUUCGUCCUCUCCGCCUCUCUCACUCUCUCGUCUCUCUCUCUCAAUCCAGCUUCUCCGGCGAGCCUCCGACCACCGCCGAGCACCCCUCGCCUCUCCGACCACUGACGGGGGCAGAGGGCCGAGACCUAGCCCUAGCCCCGCCGAACAGCGCGGCGCCCCUCCCCCUCUCUUCUCCUUCUCCGCCGCCGCCUGCUUCUCCUUCUCCAACCGACGGCGGCUCUGGGGCCGCGCCGCGACCGCCUUCCUUCUUCCCCUCGCAUCUCUCUCUGUCCGACUCCUCUCUCUUCCCCUCUCGGUUCUCCCUCGUCUCUCUCGCUCAUCUCUCUCUCGACCUCUGUGUUUGCCGCCGCCGCCUUCUCCGACCGAACAGCCGCCACCCAUUCUCUUCUCUUCUCCGACAGAUCUGGUUCUAGUGGCUAGGGUUUGCAGGGCGGCAGAGCUGGGGGCUAGGGGCUAGGGUUUGCAAGCGUUCGAUUUUGGGCAAGACCCCCUCCGCCUUGGUUCUGGAAUCCUCCAUUAUCGCCGCCCAUCUCCUCGCCCCAAUUCUGCCACCGCUCAUCUCCUCGCCCCAAUUGUUUGUGGGUUCGAUUAUCUCUUGGUUUUGAUUUGCAAUUGUUUCUGGGUUCGAUUUGCAAUUGUUUAUGGGUUCGAUUUUUCAAUUUGCAAUUUUCAAUCUGUCCAAUUGUUUCUGGAUUGAUUCAAUCAGUUUUUGAAUCAGUUUCUGCAGUCACAAAUUUGCAAUUGUUUAUGGGUUCGAUUUUCAGCGGCAUAGCAGAGGGAAUCGACGGUCGUGGUCGACGGCGGCGGCGGCGCUGGUGGUCGGCGGUGGUCGGAGCAGAUGAGAGAGAGAGAGUUGGGGUUUAAUAAAGACAUUAAUGAAAUUACAAAAAUUUAAAAUUCAACUAAAACAUUAAAUAGAAAUAAAUAAAUACACUAAAUUAAAACUAAUCAACUACACUAAUAGUGGUGAGCCACAACACUUUAACAACUAAUCUACCUUUCCUUAAUCUCCGUGCCCAAAAGACCUAUGUCUUUAUUAAUGGGACGGAGGGAGUAAUAUUUAGUCUUAACAUAAUUAGUACUCUCUACGUCCCAUUAAAGUUGGCCACAUUUCCUUUUUGGUUGUCCCACUAAAGUUGGUCACUUUCUAAAAAUUGAAAUAUUUAUUUUAGUUAAGUCCAAUUAGUUCAUUUAAUUAAAAAUUUCUAGUUAAAUCUAAACCCUCUUUAUUUAAAAACACACACACAAAACACACACUAACACACGCACACAGCCAACCCCCCCUCCCCCAGCGCCGACCCCCUUCUCUUUUCUUCUCCGGCGGCCGCCCCAUCCCCUGACCUCCCUCUCACUCUCCCUCGCCUCUGCUCUCUCAGGAUCUGGCCCUCCACCGCCUCCCUUCACCUAGUGUCGCUCCACACCUCCAUUUCUUCCACCCGCGCCGCCUUCCUCCACCUCCUCGCCUUCCUUCACCCGCCUCCGCCUCCGCCUCCCUCCACCUAGCGCCACUCCACAGCCUCCAUUUGGGGCUAGGGUUUUUCCUCUCCGCCUCUUCGAUUUGGGGCUAGGGCUUUGCCUUCGCCGCCGAUUUGGGCUAGGGCUUUGCCGCUCCGCCUCUCCAGUCGGCUGCAUCUGCGAUUUGGGGCUAGGGCUUUGCCGCCGCCGCCGAUUUGCCUCUCCAGGCAGCGCCGCUUCCUUCGGGUUUGGAGAUUGAGGAGAUUUCGCUGCGAUUUGGGCGAGCGGCUGAAAAUCUAAGCCUAGGUCCGCCGAUUUGGGGGUGAGCGAUGGAGUGUCGAUUGGGUUAUCUCUUUCAUUUUUUCGGUUUUUAGCUGAACAUUGAAGCUUGGUUUGGGUGAGGCAGGUGAUGCGAAGCCUGGAUUAAUUUUUGAUUGAAGCCUUUUUUUGGCUUUGGCUGAAAAUCGAAGCCUAGCUUUGAUGGGCGCCGAAGCUCGCCUGUCGUUGAUUCGCCUGUGAAGGUGAAGUUUGGUUUGGGUGAGGGGCGAGCGGUGACCACCGGCGCCGGCGUCGCCGGCGCCGUCGCCGUUGCCAUUACCAGAUGCAGUGAAGUUAGGUUGAAGAAGAUAAAGUUAGGUUGGAGGAAAUUUUAAUUAAUUCAUUAAUUUUGAUGGACCACAUUUAAUUAAACACUAACUAUCCCUUUCUUAAUCUCCAUGCCGAAAAGAAUGUGGCCAACUUUAAUGGGACAGAGGGAAUAUUAAUUAAUUCAAACGUUUAAGUUCUAUGAUGGUAAAGAAGAAAAAAUAAUAGAAUUACAAAUACAUAAUUUAUCUAUCAACAAUCGUAUUUUUUUUUUAAUUUUUAAGAAAAAAAAAAUGUAUACCCUAUAGAACUAUAUAUUGCAUCCACAAAAUUACCAUUUUAAUUUAAAUUUUUGCAAAUGUUCUUCGUGAAAUACAUCAAUAAAAUAUUGGGUUAAGGUACAAAUGCCCCCCUAAACAAGACACCCCUCGAGCGCAUCCCUCUCCAUUUUCUCGAUGUUGGCCCAAAUAAACUCCUAGAGUCCAAAAAUAGGGUACACUUAAACUCAGGCGUUAAACGACCGUCUAACGCCGUGCACUUAAAUUUUAAAUUUUUGUUUUAUUUUCUCGUGGGGUCCACUUUCAUCACAACGAUCCAAAUCAACCACCUUCAUCUUCUUCUUCAUCUCUCCUAUCAUACUCAGUCGAUACUCCCGAGUACCCGCCUUAUCUCUUCAACAUUCCCACCACCACCACCGCCGCCACAGCUUUCCUCCCACAAUAAACCCCCAUCUUCUCAUCAUCAAUUCCAUUAUCAUCAUUCCUGCACGACCAACCAUACAGAUCCUCAGCCAGUUCCGCAACGCGCAGUUCCCCUCAAUCGAGAGCGAAGACGCCGCAAUGACAAAAGCCAUUCUAGCCGUCUAUUGUGUAUUGAAUCGGGUUAACACAAAUUAAUAUGCAAGUGCACGUAGUUUCAAUAAGUAAUAAAAGGAAGUAUUCCAAGAUCGUCUCCACAUGGAAUGCAAAAUAAAACUUAAACUAUCUCAGCUACAAAGAAACAAGCAAUUUAAGAACUACUUGAAAGCUAGAAAUUAAUUAAUGCUUUAAAUCAAGAUGAUGGUUUUCUAAUAAACUAAAACUAAACUAAGGUUGGUAAAAAUCUUAACUAAAGUUAACUAGACAGAAGAUAGAAGAUUAAACAAAGAAAAUAUAUAAGAGAAACGGANGCAAACUCUCAUUCCCUUCUAGAAUUUCAGUUUCAUGUAACACCCCAUCAGACUCCCAACCACCUUCACCAUAGCCACUAACACCCUCACUGCCCUCACAAUCACCAUCAUUGCCCUCACCCUCCCCAUCACUGCCCUCAAUAACACCCUCACCCUCUGUACAACCCUCAAUGCCCUCACCAUGUUUACUAACUGUCUCUUUACUCCCACCCUCAACACACACAGUAACAAUCAUGUGUUUACCCAUUUCAUUCAACAUAUUCAUUACCCCUUUGUCGUCUUUUAUUAGUUUAUGUGUUUGAGUUGUAGGGACACGAUAGUACAGGUGUUGUGGUAAAAUCGGAUUAACACAAUUUAAUACGCAAGUGCACGUAGUCUCAACAAGUAAUAAGAGGAAGUAUUCCAAGAUCGUCUCCACAGGGAAUGCAAAUUAGAACUUAAACUAUCUCAGCUACAAAGAAACAAGCAAAAUAAGAACUACUUGAAAACUAGAAAUUAAAUAAAGCUUUAAAUCAAGAGGAUGGUUUUCUAAUAAACUAAAAUUAAACUAAGGUUGGUUAAAAUCUUAACUAAAGUUAACUAGACAGAAGAAAAAAAAUUAAACAAAGAAAAUAUAUAAGAGAAACGGACUUGGAUUGAUGAAUCCCACUAUAUCUUUCACACUGAACAGAAUGCUGCAGCAAUAUUUAAGCAAAAUCUCACAGUUACGAAAAUUCACAAACAUUCAUAGAACUUUCUCAAAUCCUAUGGUUUCUCAUUCUACAACUUUCUCGAGCAUAUUCCUAUGCUAAAUCAAGCUUAGAACAACAGAUACACAGCUCCAAUUUCUAACCGCACACAAGGUGUUGGGAACCUUGUGGAAUAUCCUAACCCUUGUUUUGAUGAUACCAAAAUUCAUAGGACUUAAAUGUAAUAGACUAGAAUCGUUUUUGAACUCAAGUGUUAGAGUUCGUUUCUAGUUUAGUUGCGGUGUCAAAGACUGAAGACUGAAGAACGAAGACUGAAGACUGAANNNNNNNNNNNNNNNNNNNNNNNNNNNNNNNNNNNNNNNNNNNNNNNNNNNNNNNNNNNNNNNNNNNNNNNNNNNNNNNNNNNNNNNNNNNNNNNNNNNNNNNNNNNNNNNNNNNNNNNNNNNNNNNNNNNNNNNNNNNNNNNNNNNNNNNNNNNNNNNNNNNNNNNNNNNNNNNNNNNNNNNNNNNNNNNNNNNNNNNNNNNNNNNNNNNNNNNNNNNNNNNNNNNNNNNNNNNNNNNNNNNNCAGAAUGUUGUAGUAAACUCCCAGCAACGCUUAAGUCCCUACACAAAACCAACAAAUCUCUCAUUUGUCUAUUUUUAUAUGAGAUUAGCUAACUUUGGCAUCAAUUUUCAUAUAUCUCAAUUCUCAAACACCCAAAAACGAAAGAGCGAAACGACAAUAAAACGUAAAAGAAAACCUAAAGAACUACACAAAACAUGCAUCAAACUCUUCUUAAAAGCUUAAAAGAAUGAAUAAUAACUCUUAAUACAAGAGUUAUCACCGCCCUCUCCUCUCCUUCAACCUCCUCUACCUCUCACCACAACCUUCCCCGAAACAUUCCCACUUCAUUCACAAGAUACCAAGCGAACUCCGCCCCUCGGCUCGCCUCCGCGUCUCAGAACCAUAACAAGUUCAAAAGAGUCGUUUCAUUUUUCAGAAAGCUGAACCUCCUGAGAAGCAGACAUGAAAUUCAGGGCCAAGGAAACCUCUCCACCGCUACGCAGCUGCACCACAUGAUCUCCGAGAGAAAGCGCCGCUAGAAGUUCAACGAAAGCUUCUAGAUGCUCAGAUCUUUCAUCCCUCAUGGAACCAAGGUACCUAAUUCACCAUUAUCGAUCUUCCAAUAAAAAAUCCUUCCAUUUUUUUCGGGGGGAAAUCUCAUGAGUCGUUAUCUUGAUGCAGAAGGAUAAGGCGUCUGUGCUGAGCAGCACCACCGAGUAUCUGAGCUCGUUGAAGUCACAGGUGGCGAAGCUGGCCAAGUGGAAUCUGCUUCUUGAAUCGUAGAUUAACUCGAUACAGAAAUUAGAAAGUGACGCAGACGAAGCGGGGAGUUCUUCGUCCGGUGGUGAAAAGAUUAUUGUGGAGAUCGCGCAGGUUUCAUCGUCGUCGGAGGAGGAAGCAAGUCGUGUUAGAUCAGUUGCAGUUCAGUAAUUAAACAUAUAUGGAGGUGGGACCUACAAGAAAAAAAAAUUAGUAAAAUUUAAGUUGACGGCGUUAGACAGCCGUUUAGAGUCUGGGUUUAAAUGUACCCUUUUUUUGGACUCUGGGGGUGUAUUUGGGCCAGCAUCGAGAAUGAGGAGGGAUAUGCUCUAGGGAUGUAUUGUUUAGGGGGCAUUUGUACCUUAAGCCUUUCUUUUAUUAGUGAUCAAUGUAUAAUUAUUACGUAUAUUUUCUUUCACAAAAACUUAUCUGCCGCCUCACAAAUUGAGCGCUCACCACAUGCGCGCGGAUCUUGGUGCGACCCGACCCGGAUCCGGGUCCAUCAUAUAAAAAAAUUUCCUGAAAACCUACCAUUUUCUUAUUUCUCCUUAUUCUCCCUCUGUAGCCGCUCUGUCCGUCUUCUCCCUCUCUCCCACUUUCCAGAAUCAAGAUUGUCAAUUAAUGUCUUAUCUGUAACGAAUGAUUUGCAAGAGCGACGUUGGGAAAAGGAGCGAACAGAGCGAUCGCGACGCUGUUCGGCGAAGCGCACGAUUUGGUGAAUCUGACGCCAAAGAAAGUGGAGGUCGUUUUGAUCUUACGCCAGCAGGUGUAGUCGAAGGCGGUGUGAAAUUUCCAUAGAUUCAUGGCGNUUGCAGGGUUCGUACACUCUGACAAUGAAAAUGGUGGAUGGGAACAACAACCAGUUGACAUGCAUUACAGUCGACUUCAGCAUCGGUUUCAUAGCAGAAGAGAAGUUGGCUGAUAUGUAAAUGCUCGAGAAUAUUCCUAUAUUUCCUGGCUUUAAUGUAUAGAAGACUUGUUUCUAUGUAUGAUGUCCGAACCCUUUCACGUUUGAGUAUCUGUGUAUGUACGCCGACGGUAAAGACUUUUAAUAAAUUUUACAUCCCCAUUUUCUGGUUUUGGUUGAUUCUUGAUAGUAUAUAACUAUUUGAGUGCCU